rnacentral:lncRNA from 1 species
AGGAAAGGAGUAAUUCUGUCGUUUGGGGUAUAAGGUGUGGAAAGAGAGGGAAGGAGGUAGGCUGGAAUGGGCUGGGAAUUGGGAGAGACUAGACACUCUCUAACUGUCUAGAAAUACUUGCUUUACAGUAGUCUUUUCCCUGGGAUAUACAAUCCGUUUUCUUUAUUAAUAAAGUGAUAUAUUCAGCUAUAUUGUGUUUCCUUAUUUCUGGUAUCUAUCACAAACAAACAAGUAUAGCCAGUUAAAAAUUGAUCCAGAAAACACUGCACUGUACCAGUAAAUAAAACCCUUAGCUUCACAGUGCACAAAAUUUCCAUGCACUAUUUAAACCCCUACACCAUAACAGGCUCGAAGAUCAUAAUCUUCAAUGAUCAAGUAUUGCUCUUGUAUGGACAAACACCGAAUGAUUCAUGUACCUUCCAAAUCAACCACUUAAGAAUAAUAGUGAAUGCAAACAUAAUAAAACGAGAGAGACUACAACCAUUCGAAAAAGUAAUCUACCGCCAUUGCCUCCACAACACUACAGACAUCCAUAGCAAGCAAGUUUCCACUGCAAAUGCCGAAGGCACAACUCUACACAACUCUACAAAUGCCAAAGCCUCUCAUACUCAUAGUGCCUGUUUACAAGAACUCCCACUCCAAAAGUUUAGCCAGAAAAAUAAUUGUGAAGAAAAUAACGAAUGUAAAGAUAAUAGAACCUAAAGUUUCCCUGGAUAUCCAACCACUGCUUCCCAAACCUAUCCACCACCCACUAUUUGCACACCCUGCACCCACUUCAUUUUAGUUUCCCUGCAAAGCCCAUGCAUACAAAAAAAAUAUAAUUAAUCUGGGUAGAAGAUGAAGGAGCUAAUCAAUAAGAUAAAAACAGGAAUUAAAAUUCCAAAGGAGAUAUUCCCAAAACAGGCUCGGUGAUCAUAAUGUUCAGCAUUACUGAUCUUGCACCAUGGCCGGAACAUGUACCUUACUACAACCAAUAAAAGAGACUUUUCCAACUCGACAGACAAAAGGCCCAAACAACUACAACCAAUAAAAGAGACUAAAGUCCUUCCAACUCGAGCAGAUAAAAAAUAGUAAAUGAGAACGUAAUAAAACAUGAAGCUUUGAAGUAAGUUAAAUAAUCUAAACCUACUGUAUCCAGAUCCAAUAUACAUCUUCUUCACUGCAACAUGAGCAGAAGAGCAUAGUCAAAAUCAACAGCCAACUGUCACAACACAAAUGUCAAAGCCUCUCACUCAUAGAGUGCCUAUUUACAAAUCUCCCACUCCACAAUUUUAACAUGACAAAUAACGUCAAUGAAAAUAGUCAAUGAAAAUAGUGAGUUCAAAGAAAACGAAUUCAAAGAUAAUAAAACCUUACGUUCAACAUAUCUCCAUCCACUGCUACCUAAACUUGCCCACCACCCACCAUUUGCUCACCCUGCACCCAUUUCAAUUCUUCUUUUCCUGUAAACUCAUUAAUCCAAGAAAACAAUAAUCAAUAUGGGUAGAAGAUAAAGGGUCACCCAUCCAUUAAAAAAACAAUAAUCAAUUUGGAUAGAAGACGAAGGACCAACACCAUAAGAUGAAUAAACAAAUUCAGGAACCAAAAAACUAAUUGAGAAACUUCCAUAGCAGGCUCGAUCUUCAUAAUCUUAAGCAAUCAAGUAUUGCUAUAAUUAAUCUGGGUAGAAGAUGAAGGACCUAGAAGAUAAGAUGAAUAAUGUCCAGCAAUCAAGUAUCGCUCUUGUUUUAACAAAGACCAUGCCCAAAACAUGUACCUUCCUAAAACAAAUAAGAGAGACUAAAGCCACUCGGGCACACAAGAAAACAAGUAAAUGACUCUUCAAUGCAAAAGGAGUGGGAGAAGAUGAUCAAAAUCAACGGAGUCAAUGGUCAAACAACCCAAACGACAAAGCCUCCACUCAGAGUGCCUACUUUCAGGAUCUCCCACUCCAAAAGUCAGAGCCAAAUGUCAAAGGCUCUCACUCAUAGAGUGCCUACUAUCAUGAUCUCCCGCUCCAAAACAUAGACCCAAAUACCGAAGCCUCAAACUCAUAGAAUGCGUACAUUAAAGAUCUCCCACUCGAAAAGUUUAGUUUGAAGACCGAAACCAGCCCACCACCCACCAUUUGCAAACCCCUGCACACAUUUCAUUUCUUUGUUUCCGUGUAAAGCCCAUCAAUUCAAGAAAACAAUAAUCAAUUUGGGUAGAAGAUGAAGAACUAAGACCCCAUCCAUUCAAGAAAUUUGGGUAAAUGAUGAAAGACCCAAGCCCAUAAGAUGAAUAAACAAAUUCAAAAACAAAAAUACUAAUUGAGAAACUUCCAUAGUAGGUUCGAUCAUCAUAAGGUUCAGCGAUCAAGUAUUACUCAUGCUUAGAUAAACACCAUGGCUGACACAUGAACGUUCCUACAACCAAUACGUUUUUUCAUGUAAAGCCCACGUAUUCAAUAAAACUACAAUUAAUCUGGGCAGAAGAUGAAAGACCUAGAUGACAAGACGAAUAAACAAAUUAAAGAAUUAAAAAAACAAUGGAUAAAUUUCCAUAACAGAUUCUUUGACCAUAUUUUUCCAGUGAGCGUGUACCUUCCUACAACCUACAACCAAUAAGAGAGACUAAAGCCACUUAAGCAAACUAGAAUAAUCGUAAAUGAGAAUGUAAUUAAACAUAAAGCUUUGCAGUAAUUUAAAUAAUCUACACCUNCUGCAUGCACGAUCCAAUAAACAUCCUCUUCACNGCAAGAGGAGUAGAAGAAGAUAAUCAAAAUCAACAGAGCCAACAGAUCAACAACCCAAAUGUCAAAGCCUCUCACUUAUAGAGUGCAUACUUUAAAGAUCUCCCAUUCCACAAGUUUAGUUUGAAAAAUAACAGCAAUGAAAUUAACGAAUGCAAAGANAAUAAAACAAAGGGAUAAUAAAACAAAGGGUUACACCGGAGCUCCANCCAUUGUUACCAUCCACUGUUUCUGAAGCUGCNCACCACCCACCAUUUGCAUACCCUGCAAUCACUUGAUUUCUUAGUUUUCUUGUAAAGCCCAUCGAUCAGAUGAAGGACCUAGAUGAUAUGAUAAAUAAACAAAUACAAUAAUUAAAAAACCAAUGGAGAAAUUUCCAAACAAGCUCGAUCAUGUUAAUGUUCCAGCGAUCAAUUAUUGCUCUUGUAUAGACAAACCCCAUGGCCGAAACAUGUACCUCCCUACAACAAACAAGAGAGACUAAAGCCAAUCCACCUAGAACAGACAAGAAAAAUAGUACAUCAGAAUCAAAGAAAACAUAAAGCUCUAUGGUAAGUUAAAUAACCUACAACUACUGCGCCCACGAUCCAAUAGACAUCUUCAUUGCAAGAUGAGUAGAAGAAGAUUAAUCAAAAUCAACAGCCAAAGGUCCAACGAGACUAUCACUCAUAGAGUGCCUACUUUCAAGAUCUACCACUCCAAGUUUAGUUUGAAGAAUAACGGCAAUCAAAAUAAUAAAUUAAAAAAUAAUAAAACCUAAGGUUCACCAGAUUUCCACUCAAAAAUAAUAAAACCUAAGAAUCACCGGAUUUCCAUCCACCAUUACCGCAACCUGCCCACCACCCAUCAUUUACACACCCUGCACACAUUUCAUUUCUUAGUUUCCGUGUAAAGCCCAUCAAUUCAAGAAAACAAUAAUCAAUUUGGAUAGAAGAUGAAGGAUCUCGAUCAAAUCCAUUCAAGAAAUUUGGGUAGAAGAUGAAAGACCCAAGACCAUAAUAUGAAUAAACAAAUUAGCGAAUAUUAAUUGAGAAACUUCCUUAGUAGGCUCGAUCAAGUAUUGCUCAGCCUUACACAAACACCAUGACUGACACAUGUACCUUUCUACAACCAAUACGUUUUCAUGUAAAGCCCAUGUAUUCAAUAAAACUAUAAUUAAUCUGGGUAGAAGAUGAAGGACCUAGAUGAUAAGAUGAAUAACCAAAAUAAAGAAUUAAAAACCCAAUGGAGAAAUUUCCAUAACAGAUUCUCUGACCACAAUUGUCCAUUUAGCAUGUACCUUCCUACAACCAAUAAGAGAGACAAAAGCCACUUGAGCAGACUAGAAUAAUAGUAAAUGAGAAUGUAAUAAAACAUAAAGCUUUCGAGUAAGUUAAAUAAUCUACACCUAUUGCAUGCAUGAUCCAAUAGACAUCCUCUUCACUGCAAGAAGAGUAGAAGAAGAUAAUCAAAAUCAACAGAGCCAACAGUCCAACAACCCAAAUGUCAAAGCCUCUCACUUAUAGUGCCUACUUUAAAGAUCUCCCAUUCCACAAGUUUAGUUUGAAAAAUAACGAUUAUAGAGAUAACCAAUGCAAAGAUAAUAAAACAAAGGGUCACCGGAGCUCCAUCCAUUGUUACCAUACACUGUUUCUGAAGUUGCUCACCACCCACCAUUUGCAUACCCUGCACCCAUUUCAUUUCUUAGUUUUCUUGUAAAGCCCAUUGAUUAACUAUAAUUAAUUUGGGUAGAAGAUGAAGGACCUCGAUGAUAAGAUAAAUAAACAAAUACAAUAAUUAAAAAAUCAAUGGAGAAAUUUCCAAACAAGCUCGAUCAUCAUAAUGAUCCAGCAUUAAUUAUUGCUGUUGCAUAUAGACAAACACCAUGGAGGAAAAAGAUAGCUAGUCUAUAACAAGCAUAUAUCAACACAAUGUACAUACUUGUUAGCACUUAGAGAGAAUAGAAAAAUAAGAAAGUGUACUUAAAUGCUUAACGGUUAAGGGGUCGGGAUUGGUGUCUGCAUAAGAGACCUCUUUUAUUGUUUUCAGCAGACAAUUAGUAAUCUUGUGUGUGUAGACUGGUCUUGAAC